rnacentral:rRNA from 1 species
UAAAACUCUGUUGUUAAAGAAGAACAUAUCUGAGAGUAACUGUUCAGGUAUUGACGGUAUUUAACCAGAAAGCCACGGCUAACUACGUGCCAGCAGCCGCGGUAAUACGUAGGUGGCAAGCGUUGUCCGGAUUUAUUGGGCGUAAAGCGAGCGCAGGCGGUUUUUUAAGUCUGAUGUGAAAGCCUUCGGCUCAACCGAAGAAGUGCAUCGGAAACUGGGAAACUUGAGUGCAGAAGAGGACAGUGGAACUCCAUGUGUAGCGGUGAAAUGCGUAGAUAUAUGGAAGAACACCAGUGGCGAAGGCGGCUGUCUGGUCUGUAACUGACGCUGAGGCUCGAAAGUAUGGGUAGCAAACAGGAUUAGAUACCCUGGUAGUCCAUACCGUAAACGAUGAAUGCUAAGUGUUGGAGGGUUUCCGCCCUUCAGUGCUGCAGCUAACGCAUUAAGCAUUCCGCCUGGGGAGUACGGCCGCAAGGCUGAAACUCAAAGGAAUUGACGGGGGCCCGCACAAGCGGUGGAGCAUGUGGUUUAAUUCGAAGCUACGCGAAGAACCUUACCAGGUCUUGACAUACUAUGCAAAUCUAAGAGAUUAGACGUUCCCUUCGGGGACAUGGAUACAGGUGGUGCAUGGUUGUCGUCAGCUCGUGUCGUGAGAUGUUGGGUUAAGUCCCGCAACGAGCGCAACCCUUAUUAUCAGUUGCCAGCAUUAAGUUGGGCACUCUGGUGAGACUGCCGGUGACAAACCGGAGGAAGGUGGGGAUGACGUCAAAUCAUCAUGCCCCUUAUGACCUGGGCUACACACGUGCUACAAUGGAUGGUACAACGAGUUGCGAACUCGCGAGAGUAAGCUAAUCUCUUAAAGCCAUUCUCAGUUCGGAUUGUAGGCUGCAACUCGCCUACAUGAAGUCGGAAUCGCUAGUAAUCGCGGA